rnacentral:lncRNA from 1 species
UGGCACCACUGGGUCCAGCUGGUGUCAUAAUGCUGCAGUCAACUGAGUCAACAUGAGAGUCCUCUCUGGCUCUGAGCCUGUCCUCACUGGCUGCUUCACGUCCCUCUCUAUGCUGCCAUCUCAAGUUUUUAUGGCUCAGAGAGUUCCUGUCACUUCCCUGCUGAAUUCCUGUGUUCUUCCUUAGAAACUCUAUUCUAUUUUUGAUUAUCUACUGGCUGUUUUGUUUCUUCUUCGUGGAGAAGGAACCAUUUUCUUUAAUGAAAGAUAUUGGGUGGAGAUAGAAUUAGGUAAUUUGAAGGUAGCAGUAUUUCUCUGAAUUCUAGGAAUGCUCAAGAUCCAGGAUGAGUUCAGACCCUGGGCUAUCCAUGGACCAUGGCUGACCCUUGGCCUAAAGCCACAUAUCCAGGCCUAUGAAAUGGAUUUGACCCAUCUGUGAUCUGAUUACCCCACCACUGCAUGCCUACAGCACACAAGGAAUGCGAAAACAUCAUGUUCCAGGGACAGUCUUCAUUUGCGCUAGACAAAAGACAAACAAUCCUUCCUUGAAUGGACCCACUCUUCUUUUUUCACUCAUCUCCUCUCACUGAUCUCCCUGCUGGUGGUGGCGGAUAGAAGGCAGAGAUGUGGUCAACACCAAAUGAGAUUAUGUUCUGGGAAUUCAGAGAUUACAGUCUGAAGAAUUCAAGAUAAGGUAUGACCUCCAUAAAGAACCUUCAUAUCAUCUUGCCCUGCAUGAAAUAUAUUAGAAGCCUUUGCUCUGGUCUUUCAUGGUACUUUUAAAGGAUAUUAUCAUUUACAAAAUGGAAUACCAAUGACUUUUCACAAGUGGUCUAUCAACUAAGCAUGUACUUAAGUAAAUAUUUUCAGAGGAUUUCAUUAACCUCUGAGUGAAUAGUUGAAAAAAAAGAAUGAAACAGAUAUAAGUCCAUGUUUUUAUUUGUAAAUAAAUGUAUUGCCAAAAUUACAUACAAAUAACAAAUAAUGUCUCGAGUGACAUGCAAUGAUCAAAAUCCUCAAAAGAAUACUUUUGUUUAGUAGAGAUUUGAACAAAUAAACUACAAUUUAAGGAGACUGUUGUAUUUCUUUUGAGAUAACCCCAUAAGUUUUACAUUCUGUAUCAAGGCAUCCAUUUGCAGUAAUAAAGAUUCAAGGCUUAUCCCUAAAAGGCAAUGCCCAUUCUUUAUAGUCAAUAUGAUCCUGCUAGCACAUAAAGCCUGAAGAAAUAACAGAUACUAGAUUUAAAACCACUUUACUAAAAUUAAUCCAUGGUGAUGAUAUGGAAGAAAACCACAGGAGUCUUGAGAAAAUAAACUAGCUGCUGUCUGGUUGAUACCAGAAAUAGAGAUUGGUAUAAGGAAAAAAUUAAAAGAAAGAAGUAUCACAAAUAAGAAUGAUUGAUACUUAUUAGAAACAUAUCUGGAAAUAGAUGAUUAGGAAUAUUAAAAAUAAAAAUGAAGAGGUAUAUAUGAUGCCACUGAAGAAACAAGCAAAAUUCAAAUGAAUAAAAGGUAAACAAGAAAUCAGGAAAUAAAAAAAGUCCAAUAAAAUCUGAAAAGGGAAAGAAGGCACAAAGUAAGUAUCAAUAAAGAAACCACAAUAUCAUUACUGCAAAGUCAGAGGUCAAAACAUCAUAGCUAUAGAAACCUUAAAGAGACUUUUUAAAAUAUAUCAUUUCUAAGAGGCCAUAAUAUACAAUAAGUUACAAAUAUAAAAAUGUUUUAAUAUUUACAAUUUAACGUACAUGUAGACAAUAAAGUUAUGGGAAAAGAAACAAAAGACAACAAAAGUAACAUCCCUACUUAUGUACACUCACUAUGCUUUCACGGUACAUACUUUUACUUUCCAAACCCUAACAAUUAUAUAGCAUUUCACACAAUAAAAUUUUAUAUAGCAUAUCUGAAUUACUUCAAAGCUUAAUGCGGAUUUAAAUAAUAAAACUUUACUAUUUUGAUCAUAAAUUAAGCAAAUGAGACUAAAAUGACAUUUUUUAUUUUCAACUUAAUGGUUAUUUAAUAAUCACUGCACUCCUUGGGGAUGUUAACAUUGUAGAACUCGACAAAUUAACAAGAUAGUUCUAGGUUGACUCUAUUUUCUCUUAAAUAUUAAAUUUAUGAUUUGCUAAAAAAAAAAAAAAACCUCUAAUAAGGACACAGAACUUAUAGUUUGCCAGUUUGUGUUACAAGAACUUUCUACACUGAGGAAGAUAUGAACACUAGUUAUCACACUCCAAACACUCUGCUUCCUGCACAUACCAUCUCCUGCAUUGCCUAUUUUUUCUAGCAAAGCACUUAGUAAUCACUUGUAUAUGUUUAAUUGUGGAAGUCUUAAAGCUGUAAUAAUUUAUAUUGUGUAAAAUAGAAAGGACGUGAAUUCAGUACAUCAGGGAUGGAAAAUAUGCUCUUACUCAUUCUCCUGUGGCUGAAGUAGAAAUCAGUAGUAUGUAUGUAAACCUUUUUUUCCUGAGCCUCAAAAUUCCUCUCAAUGCUCAGUUCCAGGCAGCCAUUACCAAUUGCUAAGAGUUAGCAUAUGGGUGAAAAUUGAUUUGACAUCUCUAGUUAGAAUAUGAAAUGCUGGCGUAUAAAUUAUAGGUCAAGAGAUCACAGGUAUCUGGAUAAGCAAUAUCAUUCAGUUACAAAAAAAAAUUGGUGUGCAGGGUUAAUAUGAAAUCUGAGAACUAUGUAAACCAUUUCUCAGAGAUUAAAGCCAUGAUAUAGUUACAAUGUAGCCAAAACUGGCUGUGGAACAUAGAGAACUCGUAAGUGUUACUGUCUUAGAUAGCUGGAACGAUCACUGAGACUACUCUUUUAUAUGUUAACUUGUUUACUGCUCACAGCAAACUUAUAUGUUGAGUACUAUGAUUAUCAUCUACCUAUCCUCAAUUAAAACACAUGUACCCUAAAACUUAAAGUAUAAUAAUAAUAAAAUAAAAACAAAACAAACAAAAAGAAAACAAAGAGAUCUUAUUAUCAUCCCCAAGUUAAACUGCAUAACAAAAGGUAGAGGUGGGAUUUUUAACUAAUUUAUCUUCAGAGUAAGUGUCUCUACUAACUUCUAUACUUUCUGUUGCCUAUGCAAGUCUGUUAUAGAAAUCAAAUAAGAACAUGUGGGUAAAAGUGAGUUUAAACCACUAGCAGAUGUAAGGAGUUGAUAUUAAUAAUGAAUCCAUGAAACAUGCAGGGGGGUUAAAGGUUGGGUUUGCAAAUAAGAGGUUUGUGUUUGUUUGUUGUUGUUCUUUUUUUUGAGAUAGAGUCUCGCUGUAUCACCAGGCUGGAGUGCAGUGGUGCGAUACCAGCUUACUGCAACCUCGUCCUCCCGGGUUCAUGCCAUUCUCCUGCGUCAGCCUCUUGAGUAGCUGGGACUACAGGUGCGUGCCACCAUGCCUGGCUAAUUUUUUGUAUUUAUUGUAGAGACAGGAUUUAACCACGUUAGCCAAGUUGAUCUUGAUCUCCUGACUUUGUGAUCCACCCACCUUGGCCUCCCAAAGUGCUGGGAUUACAGGUAUGAGCCAUGGCACUUGGCCUUUUGUUUUGCUUUGUUUUG